rnacentral:tRNA from 1 species
CCGGACUUAGCGAAGUUUGGUAUCGCGCUUGAUUUGGGUUCAAGAGACCGUGGGUUCGAAUCCCGCAGUCCGGACCA